UAGAGUUUUGAUCCUGGCUCAGGAUGAACGCUGGCGGCGUGCUUAACACAUGCAAGUCGAACGAUGAAGCCCAGCUUGCUGGGUGGAUUAGUGGCGAACGGGUGAGUAACACGUGAGUAACCUGCCCUUAACUCUGGGAUAAGCCUGGGAAACUGGGUCUAAUACCGGAUAGGAGCGUCCACCGCAUGGUGGGUGUUGGAAAGAUUUAUCGGUUUUGGAUGGACUCGCGGCCUAUCAGCUUGUUGGUGAGGUAAUGGCUCACCAAGGCGACGACGGGUAGCCGGCCUGAGAGGGUGACCGGCCACACUGGGACUGAGACACGGCCCAGACUCCUACGGGAGGCAGCAGUGGGGAAUAUUGCACAAUGGGCGCAAGCCUGAUGCAGCGACGCCGCGUGAGGGAUGACGGCCUUCGGGUUGUAAACCUCUUUCAGUAGGGAAGAAGCGAAAGUGACGGUACCUGCAGAAGAAGCACCGGCUAACUACGUGCCAGCAGCCGCGGUAAUACGUAGGGUGCGAGCGUUAUCCGGAAUUAUUGGGCGUAAAGAGCUCGUAGGCGGUUUGUCGCGUCUGUCGUGAAAGUCCGGGGCUUAACCCCGGAUCUGCGGUGGGUACGGGCAGACUAGAGUGCAGUAGGGGAGACUGGAAUUCCUGGUGUAGCGGUGGAAUGCGCAGAUAUCAGGAGGAACACGU
rnacentral:rRNA from 1 species